rnacentral:rRNA from 1 species
UGCAAGAUCAGAGCGGAUUGAUGGGAGCUUGCUCCCUGAUAUCAGCGGCGGACGGGUGAGUAACACGUGGGUAACCUGCCUGUAAGACUGGGAUAACUCCGGGAAACCGGGGCUAAUACCGGAUAACUCAUUUCCUCGCAUGAGGAAAUGUUGAAAGGUGGCUUUUACCUACCACUUACAAAUGGACCCGCGGCGCAUUACCUAGUUGGUGAGGUAACGGCUCACCAAGGCAACAAUGCGUACCCAACCUGAAAGGGUGAUCGGCCACACUGGGACUGAAACACGGCCCAAAUUCCUACGGGAGGCAGCAGUAGGGAAUCUUCCGCAAUGGACGAAAGUCUGACGGACCACCGCCGCGUGAGUGAUGAAGGUUUUCGGACC